GUUAGCGGCGGACGGGUGAGUAACACGUGGGCAACCUGCCUAUAAGACUGGGAUAACUCCGGGAAACCGGGGCUAAUACCGGAUAGUUCUUUUCCUCUCAUGAGGAAAAGGGGAAAGAUGGUUUCGGCUAUCACUUAUAGAUGGGCCCGCGGCGCAUUAGCUAGUUGGUAAGGUAACGGCUUACCAAGGCGACGAUGCGUAGCCGACCUGAGAGGGUGAUCGGCCACACUGGGACUGAGACACGGCCCAGACUCCUACGGGAGGCAGCAGUAGGGAAUCUUCCGCAAUGGACGAAAGUCUGACGGAGCAACGCCGCGUGAACGAAGAAGGCCUUCGGGUCGUAAAGUUCUGUUGUUAGGGAAGAACAAGUAUGAGAGUAACUGCUCGUACCUUGACGGUACCUAACCAGAAAGCCACGGCUAACUACGUGCCAGCAGCCGCGGUAAUACGUAGGUGGCAAGCGUUGUCCGGAUUUAUUGGGCGUAAAGCGCGCGCAGGUGGUUUCUUAAGUCUGAUGUGAAAGCCCACGGCUCAACCGUGGAAGGUCAUUGGAAACUGGGGAACUUGAGUGCAGAAGAGGAAAGUGGAAUUCCAAGUGUAGCGGUGAAAUGCGUAGAUAUUUGGAGGA
rnacentral:rRNA from 1 species